rnacentral:rRNA from 1 species
GCCAGACUCCUACGGGAGGCAGCAGUGAGGAAUAUUGGUCAAUGGGCGAGAGCCUGAACCAGCCAAGUCGCGUGAGGGAUGACGGUCCUAUGGAUUGUAAACCUCUUUUGUCAGGGAGCAAAGGGCGCCACGUGUGGCGCUUUGCGAGUACCUGAAGAAAAAGCAUCGGCUAACUCCGUGCCAGCAGCCGCGGUAAUACGGAGGAUGCGAGCGUUAUCCGGAUUUAUUGGGUUUAAAGGGUGCGCAGGCGGAAUGUCAAGUCAGCGGUAAAAUUUCGGGGCUCAACCCCGUCGUGCCGUUGAAACUGGGUGCCUUGAGUGGGCGAGAAGUACGCGGAAUGCGUGGUGUAGCGGUGAAAUGCAUAGAUAUCACGCAGAACUCCGAUUGCGAAGGCAGCGUACCGGCGCCCAACUGACGCUGAAGCACGAAGGCGUGGGUAUCGAACAGGAUUAGAUACCCUCGUAAA